GUCAGCGGCGAUAGCUCGUUGUACGCACCAGUUACUAAUGGAUCACUGAAGUAAAGCAACGUUGCGCGUGGUUGGUGUACGGAUCGGUGACCAUCAGGGCACUCGCGUGUCCUGGCU
rnacentral:rRNA from 1 species